rnacentral:rRNA from 1 species
AGUGAACGCUGGCGGUAGGCCUAACACAUGCAAGUCGAACGGCAGCACAGUAAGAGCUUGCUCUUACGGGUGGCGAGUGGCGGACGGGUGAGGAAUACAUCGGAAUCUACUUUUUCGUGGGGGAUAACGUAGGGAAACUUACGCUAAUACCGCAUACGACCUACGGGUGAAAGCAGGGGAUCUUCGGACCUUGCGCGAUUGAAUGAGCCGAUGACGGAUUAGCUAGUUGGCGGGGUAAAGGCCCACCAAGGCGACGAUCCGUAGCUGGUCUGAGAGGAUGAUCAGCCACACUGGAACUGAGAAACGGUCCAGACUCCUACGGGAGGCAGCAGUGGGGAAUAUUGGACAAUGGGCGCAAGCCUGAUCCAGCCAUACCGCGUGGGUGAAGAAGGCCUUCGGGUUGUAAAGCCCUUUUGUUGGGAAAGAAAAGCAGCAGGUUAAUACCCCGCUGUUCUGACGGUACCCAAAGAAUAAGCACCGGCUAACUUCGUG